CGGACGGGUGAGUAAUGCCUAGGAAUCUGCCUGGUAGUGGGGGACAACGUUUCGAAAGGAACGCUAAUACCACAUACGUCCUACGGGAGAAAGCAGGGGACCUUCGGGCCUUGCGCUAUCAGAUGAGCCUAGGUCGGAUUAGCUAGUUGGUGAGGUAAUGGCUCACCAAGGCGACGAUCCGUAACUGGUCUGAGAGGAUGAUCAGUCACACUGGAACUGAGACACGGUCCAG
rnacentral:rRNA from 1 species